UAGCAACCUUUUAGAAAAGAACACACACCAAAAUAAUUGACGUCAUCUGCGAAAAGGACUCAUACUCCGAAGCUUCCAUCAGCAUUGCCGAAGCUGCGGCAGGUUAUAAAUAAUCCCACUCAGCCUACACUGCCACUUUUGUCUGUGAAGCAAACUCGGCUCCACUAGAUCGACCUUCUGAAUAAUGAUACUCAACUUCACUUACAUGUUAGCAACCACUGACACACUUUAAUUGUUCAUCAAAAACUGCUAAAGCUGUGUCCAGGCCAUGAAAACAUCUUCUGCUUAUAGUGACACCUUAACUGACGUUGAUUUUCUGCUAGUUGGUGACAAGCAUGAAUCCUUCGUGGAAAAAUUGCAGGAAUCGAGCUGUGUGGCUGGCUCUGCCCCCAGAGACCUGCUGCGUGAGCACAAGACUGCUCUUUUAUCUGUGACCGAAGAAGCUAACAGGAUGAUUCGGAGGCCAGGGGAAAACAUGCUCUAGGGAUUUCUCCUUUCAGACACUAAAACGGGAGGAAGAUUAAUGGCUGGCAAAGUCACACUGCAGAUUAUAAUUCUCUUCAGGCAGGUUAUAAAGGUGCCCUGACACCCUCUGUGAGGUGGGGGAGAUGAGUAAGGGGAGGGCCACACAGCUGCUUUCAAAGCCAUUUAUCAGCAAAGAAUGUAUCGCUCAGUAAAAUGACACCAUGUCUAAAUAUUCUUGCCUGGCAACCCUAUCUGUUUUAUGUUGGAGUGUGAACUAAAUGUGUCUUCAUGGUAAUCAGAAAAUAGAAUUUAUGCAUGUGAAAUACUUAAAUAUUAGACACAUAUGUUUAAUAAAACAAGCUGGCUUGUUCUAAACUCUGAAAGGAAUCAAGGUUAAAAUUUCAUAUGUGGGUUUGCUCAUCUAGUUGAUGAAUUACACAGACUGGCAGCUUUAUGAAUGUCAUAAGGACCCCAGCUUUCUGAUAAAAUAUGGAAUAUUUAUUUUGUUAGAUGGCAGGAUCUCCAUAUUAUUUUAAAAACUAUAUGUAUCAGAGAGAAAGAUACUGAGAGAGAGAUGUUCCCCUGGAAGAGGUAUUUAUUAACAAAGAUACAUGUAUUUGUUGGUUAUAAUGGGGCUCAGGAUAUGCUACUCCAAAAUUUGUCACCUUGCUAUGUUGAAUAUCUUAAGCAGAAGGAAUGUGAGAAAAGGGCAGAAGCGAGAAGGUCACUCUGACCUCACCCCCUUGUUUUUCUUCCCUGAAAGCAGGAGAUAAAGCUCCCAAGUGAAAGGUACCCUCUCUGUGCCAGGAGGAAAGAAGGCUUUCUUAUCACACUAGAGCCAAGAAUUUGGGGCCUAGAUAUCUGUACAAAACAAACCUUGUUAAACUAACCCUUAUUAGUUAUUUCUUCACCAUUUACCACCCCAAUACCAAAUCCCUUUGCCUUGUCAAUUAUCUAUUGCAUCUUUGUUUAACAGGAGUCCCCAGCCUUCAGGAUCUAAUGCCUGAUGAUCUGAGAUGGAGCUGAUGUAAUAAUAAUAGAAAUAAAGUGCAUAAUACGUGUAACAUGCUUGAAUCAUCCCCAAACCAUCGCCCCCACCCCCACCCCCCAGUCCAUUGAAAAAUUGUUUCCCAUGAAAUUGGUCCCUGGUGCCAAAAAGGUUGGAUAACGCUUGUCUGAAAGGUAUAAAAGUCUCCUCUUCUGGUCACUUUUUGGGUCUUCAUUGUUUUGUGAAGUCUCCCACGUAUAUAUAAAAA